UAUGCUUUUCCUAAAGAUUAAGCCAUGCAUGUCUUCGACUAAGAGGAAUCAUUCUCUCUGAAUCUGCGAACGGCUCCGCAAACCAGUUGUAAACCACAGCAAGGUAGACCUGGCGAGGCCCCUCACAGGGUAGUAGUCAGAUUUAUAUGGAUAUCCCUGGUAAUUCUGAGGCUAAUACACGUCAACGACACCGCCCUAGCCCAGCGCUUGGGGCGGGAACGUGCGAGAAAAUACUGGGAUCCUUUUCGUGAAAGAACGCACGUUCAGACCACCGCAAGUGGUGCGCCCUCGGGCGUUCCUGGUGGCCCUUGCAACGGGCUUCUGACCUAUCAACUAAAUAGCAGCGUAAGGGACAUGCUAUGGUAACAACGGGUACAGAGGAUUAGGGUUCGAUCCUGGAGAGUGGGCCUGAGAGAUUGCUCAUACUUCUAAGGAAGGCAGCAGGCGCGCAACGUUCCCCUUGGGCAUUUCUCGAGGGCGUUAUGGGAAAUAUGAAUGGCUGCCUACAAGGUGGCCAAUUCAAAUGGGUCUGUUGUAAAUAGGCUCUCGAGUAACAAUUAGAGGA
rnacentral:rRNA from 1 species